ensembl:snRNA LOC120097196 U6 spliceosomal RNA
GUGCUCGCUUUGGCAGCACAUACGAUAGAGAGAAAAUUAACGUGGCCCCUGCCCAAGGAUGACAUGCAAAUCCGGAAAGCGGUCCAUAUUUUA